AAAAGCUGAUUCUGAGUCACUUUGCCAAGGAAGCAUGAUGUGAUUACAUUUGAAAUGCUAUGGUCAUCUUACAUCCUCUGAGACUGUGUUCCAGAAAUGGCCUUAGUACUAAGCUGUGAGAAAAGCCGUGGAUCUGCCAAAGGUUACGUAUGCUGGAAGAAGACACUUGCUCUGUGACUGCACCCUCCCAGAUUUUGGAAGUCAGAGGCUUGUCAUGAUCUUCUCUCCAUCUGACACCUGACAUCUGCUUUAACACAGGAAGUUGAAAGCUUUCAGACCUCUAAAACUAGCUACACAAAUACAGGACUUAAACCUUGAAGAAUAGCUGAUCUUGUGGGUACCAGCUUCCUACUGGCUUUGAAAACCUGUGAAAAUGGAGGCUAAUACUGGAAAACCUGACAGACCAGCCAUGCUGUUUUGUCAGAGGAGAUUUUCUGCUGCCACUUUUAAACUGCACUGCAAUUCUACACCUUGCCUCAAGAUGACUGACCUGAAAAGCAAUGAAGACAACCUAAGGGUUUCUUCUGAUUUAUGUGAACCUAAAUUUCUCUGCUGUUGUGAUGAGGAUAACCGUUAUUCAAAGAGUGGUAUUCACAGGAAAGACUCCUUAGGUAUGGCUAUGCUCUGUCUUGGAAAUGUCUUCACUAUAGCUGAUGGAUUUAAUCCCAGAAUGAAUGAUGUUGAGAGUGGGUUUGCUCCGGAAAACUUUGAGGAAGUGAAAACCUUCCACACUGAGGAAAACAGAAUUUCACCCAAUACCCCCUCAGUGACAGAGAGGACUGCUAACAGAAACAAGCCUAAGGAGAGAACUCUGUUGCAAAAACUCUGUUAAUGCAAUUUAAUGAAAACAUAAUAAGAGUUUGUUAUGAUUUUCUUCCUCCAAAACAGUACGUCACAUGUUCAAGCCAGUAAAAAUGUUUUGAUACUCAGCAAAAUUUCUUCAGUGAGGUUUUAGUGACUCCAGUAUUUUUUCUCCAGAAACCCUCUUUGAAUCUUUCAUAAGCGUGCCAGUUUUCUGGUGGGAAAAAAAAAAAAUAAACCUGAACAUAAGACAAAUUUGUUGGGGGCC
rnacentral:lncRNA from 1 species